AUUGAACGCUGGCGGCAGGCCUAACACAUGCAAGUCGAACGAGUGGCGGACGGGUGAGUAAUGUCUGGGAAACUGCACGAUGGCGUGGGAUAACUACUGGAAACGGUAGCUAAUACCGCAUACCAUCGGAUGUGCCCAGAUGGGAUUAGCUUGUGGGGGAGGUAACGGCUAACCUAGGCGACGAUCCCUAGCUGGUCUGAGAGGAUGACCAGCGAAGCGGGAAUUGGGAAAAGGUCCAGACUCCGACGGUAGGCAGCAGUGGGGAAUAUUGCACAAUGGGCGCAAGCCGGAGGCAGCCAUGCCGCGUGUAUGAAGAAGGCCGUCGGGUUGUAAAGUACUUUCAGCGGGGAGGCGUUACCCGCAGAAGAAGCACCGGCUAACUCCGUGCCAGCAGCCGCGGUAAUAC
rnacentral:rRNA from 1 species